UACAGAGGUCUCAAGCGUUGUUCGGAUUCAUUGGGCGUAAAGGGUGCGUAGGUGGCGGGGUAAGUCAGGUGUGAAAUCUCGAGGCUCAACCUCGAAACUGCACUUGAUACUGCCUUGCUAGAGUACUGGAGAGGAGAUUGGAAUUUACGGUGUAGCAGUGAAAUGCGUAGAUAUCGUAAGGAAGACCAGUGGCGAAGGCGAAUCUCUGGACAGUUACUGAC
rnacentral:rRNA from 1 species